GUCCUAGAUCAGUAGUAGAGCAUCUGCUUUGCAUGCAGAAGGUCCCAGGUCCAAUCUCCAGGAGGCUGGGAGAGACU